rnacentral:lncRNA from 1 species
CCGCUACUGGAUAGGUAUUCAAACCUUUCCAUUUGCCCCUGUAAGUGAACCAAAUUAGAGGAAAAUUUGCACUCCAUCUUUAGAAUAAAAAUAAAUAUUUGAAAUUCAAAUGACGCCCCCCGUCCUUCCUUCAUUAAUAUUUGGAAAUAUUGUCCCUCGUAGAACAUAUAUUGCACUCGCAAGCUCGUGAAAUACAAAGUUCUACUCGGGACAAUAUUCCCCAAUAUUCAUGCAAUAACUCUAUAAUCUUAAAAUCUUAACUUAAGUAGCUUUAUGCAUACGGGCCCAGAAGAAAAG